GAUGAAGAACGUAGCGAAAUGCGAUAAGUAGUGUGAAUUGCAGAAUUCAGUGAAUCAUCGAAUCUUUGAACGCACAUUGCGCCCUUUGGUAUUCCAAAGGGCAUGCCUGUUCGAGCGUCAUUUGUACCCUCAAGCUUUGCUUGGUGUUGGGCGUCUUGUCUCUAGCUUUGCUGGAGACUCGCCUUAAAGUAAUUGGCAGCCGGCCUACUGGUUUCGGAGCGCAGCACAAGUCGCACUCUCUAUCAGCAAAGGUCUAGUAUCCAUUAAGCCUUUUUUUCAACUUUUGACCUCGGAUCAGGUAGGGAUACCCGCUGAACUUAAGCAUAUCAAUAAGCGGAGGA
rnacentral:misc_RNA from 1 species